AUAAUACUCCCUCCGUCCGGAAUUACUUGCCAUCAAAAUGGAUGUGUCUAGAACUAAAAUACAUCUAGAUACAUCCAUUUCAAUGACAAGUAUUUUCGAACGGAGGGAGUAGUAG
rnacentral:pre_miRNA from 1 species